GUUCUGUCCUGUCCAAGGUUCAAAGGCUAAAGUAUACUGUUGGAAAGAUGAAUUUGUACAACUACACAAACAAUUAGUGGGGACACAUACUAAAUUCAUGAAGAUGUGGUCCGAAGGUCAUGAAACAGUGAACCAUUUGAUAGUCAAGAAAUUGAAGGAAUUAAAGGUGAUGCUAGUUGGAGGGCAUGUCCUUAAUGAUUCUGAGUGGUCAGAGGUAA